GAUGAACGCUAGCUACAGGCUUAACACAUGCAAGUCGAGGGGAAACGGCAUCGAAAGCUUGCUUUUGAUGGGCGUCGACCGGCGCACGGGUGAGUAACGCGUAUCCAACCUGCCCAUCACUUGGGAAUAACCUUGCGAAAGUAAGACUAAUGCCCAAUGACAUCCCACGAAGGCAUCCGAAUGGGAUUAAAGAUUUAUCGGUGAUGGAUGGGGAUGCGUCUGAUUAGCUUGUUGGCGGGGUGACGGCCCACCAAGGCAACGAUCAGUAGGGGUUCUGAGAGGCAGGCCCCCCACAAUGGAACCGAGACACAGUCCAAACUGCUACGGGAGGCAGCAGUGAGGAAUAUUGGUCAAUGGGCGAGAGCCUGAACCAGCCAAGUAGAGUGCAGGAUGACGGCCCUAUGGGUUGUAAACUGCUUUUAUAAGGGAAUAAAGUGGGUAACGUGUGACUUUUUGCAUGUACCUGAUGAAUAAGGACCGGCUAAUUCCGUG
rnacentral:rRNA from 1 species